GGCAGCUGGAGACAGGGACAGGGACAGGGACAGGGACAGGGACAGGGAUGGAGAGCGGGAAGGCGAAGGGCUAACAAUGAGGGCCAACAGUUCGGCCACACAAAGAGGUGAAAUGUGUGAGUGGAACCCGGGUUUUAGAACCUCAUUUAGAACCUGAAGGUCGUUCAUGAACAGAAAAGUUCAAAAACUGAAACCAUUUUCUUCUCCAUAGGAGUCAAUGUCAAAUGGAUGAAUCAGUGAAAUAUUUUUUUCAUCAUUUUUUCAUUGUGUUAUUCUUUGAAACAUUAAUUUAUUCAAUAUCCUUGUUUUUAUUGAGGUUUAGUUCACGAUCAGACUCAUCACUGACCUGGUGCUAAUAAUAACUGGCAGAAUCUUUUCUUUCAGCCUUGGUUUCCACAUUUUCAGGUUCGGCCAAGAAUUUUCAUUUCGAUGCAUCACUACUACACAGGUAUACGUGUAUACAUGUAUACUGCAAGUACAGUGGAGUUGUACACGUGUUGUACUGUCCUGUGCUUAAAGCAGUAUUUUCUUCUCGUAAUGCAAAUAAAUCUGUACUAAUGUUAACCCCGCUCGCCCCAGCUGUGGUGUGUUUACCAACACUGUCCUAUGGAGAAUAGAUCUAGCACUUAGCACUUAGCACUUAGCAUCACUUGUCUCUGUCACUUUUACAGCUAUAUAUACACAGCCAGUAUAGUGUGUCGGAGGUUCAGUUUCUGUGUCUGGACGUCACUCGUCACCCUCGCUGCUCCACUUCCCUCGUCGAUAAAAUAUGUGGACGUACAGGAGACAGUGACCACGGGGAUGGAACACCGGUUUGAUUAGGGGGGGGGCGGGGGGGCUGGGUCACAUAUUUGAAAUUCAAGGGUUAAGUUUCCCAACCUCUGCAGUGCAACACAUUGCUGUGAUCCCUGGCCUAAUUAUAGAGGUGCAGGUUUAGGAGAGGGUGUUUGGGCGAAUGACAGUGGGGGGGGCAGUUACGAUUGAGUGUAAAUAAUUGGAAAUAGCAGCAACAAACCAAACACACGGCACUUCUUUCAAAACCCUUUAUUUAAAGGCCAGAGCGGUGCUACAUGAUGUCUUUAUACAGGAAUAAAAAUGAGCAAAAACCUUCGAAAAAAGCACAAAAUGAAACGAAUGACUUCAAACCUGAACAAAAAAUAGAACACCUUCACGUUAUGUACAGAGCAGACAAAUAUAAAAUGACACAUCUCACCUUCCCUCAGGUGAAACCCAAUCACUGUACAGCACACG